rnacentral:rRNA from 1 species
AGAGUUUGAUCCUGGCUCAGAACGAACGCUGGCGGCGUGCCUAACACAUGCAAGUCGAACGGAAGUAAGAAGCUUGCUUUUUACUUUAGUGGCGCACGGGUGAGUAACGCGUGGAUAAUCUGCCUGAUGCUCUGGGAUAACAUCUCGAAAGGGGUGCUAAUACCGGAUAAGCCCACGGGAUCUUCGGAUCUUGCGGGAAAAGGAGGGGACCUUCGGGCCUUCCGACAUUAGAUGAGCCCGCGUCCCAUUAGCUAGUUGGUGAGGUAACGGCCCACCAAGGCGAUGAUGGGUAGGCGGCCUGAGAGGGUGUACGCCCACACUGGGACUGAGAUACGGCCCAGACUCCUACGGGAGGCAGCAGCUAAGAAUAUUCCGCAAUGGACGAAAGUCUGACGGAGCGACGCCGCGUGGAUGACGAAGGCCGAAAGGUUGUAAAGUCCUUUUGCUGGGGAAGAAUAACCAUGGGAGGAAAUGCCCGUGGGAUGACAUGAACCGGCGAAUAAGCCCCGGCUAACUACGUGCCAGCAGCCGCGGUAACACGUAGGGGGCAAGCGUUGUUCGGAAUUACUGGGCGUAAAGGGCAUGUAGGCGGCUCGAUAAGCCUGGCGUGAAAGUCCACGGCUCAACCGUGGGAUUGCGUUGGGAACUGCCGAGCUUGAAUCAUGGAGAGGGAGCUAGAAUUCCUGGUGUAGGGGUGAAAUCUGUAGAGAUCAGGAAGAAUACCAGUGGCGAAGGCGAGCUCCUGGCCAAUGAUUGACGCUGAGGUGCGAAAGUGUGGGGAUCAAACAGGAUUAGAUACCCUGGUAGUCC